UACAGAGGGGGCAAGCGUUGUUCGGAAUUACUGGGCGUAAAGGGCGCGUAGGCGGCCUUCUAAGUCGAACGUGAAAUCCCCGGGCUCAACCCGGGAACUGCGUCCGAUACUGGAAGGCUUGAAUCCGGGAGAGGGAUGCGGAAUUCCAGGUGUAGCGGUGAAAUGCGUAGAUAUCUGGAGGAAUACCGGUGGCGAAGGCGGCAUCCUGGACCGAGAUUGACGCUGAUGAGCGAAAGCUAGGGGAGCAAACGGG
rnacentral:rRNA from 1 species